rnacentral:misc_RNA from 1 species
GGGGACCUGGACUCACGCUGAUCCGAGGUCACAUUUCAGAAGUUGGGUGUUUAACGGCUGUGGACGCGCCGCGCUCCCGAUGCGAGUGUGCAAACUACUGCGCAGGAGAGGCUGCGGCGAGACCGCCACUGUAUUUCGGAGACGGCCACCGCCAAGGCAGGGCCGAUCCCCAACGCCGACCCCCCGGAGGGGUUCGAGGGUUGAAAUGACGCUCGGACAGGCAUGCCCGCCAGAAUACUGGCGGGCGCAAUGUGCGUUCAAAGAUUCGAUGAUUCACUGAAUUCUGCAAUUCACAUUACUUAUCGCAUUUCGCUGCGUUCUUCAUCGAUGCCAGAACCAAGAGAUCCGUUGUUGAAAGUUUUGAUUCAUUUUCGAAACGCCUACGAGAGGCGCCGAGAAGGCUCAGAUUAUAAAAAAACCCGCGAGGGGGUAUACAAUAAGAGUUUUGGUUGGUCCUCCGGCGGGCGCCUUGGUCCGGGGCUGCGACGCACCCGGGGCAGAGAUCCCGCCGAGGCAACAGUUUGGUAACGUUCACAUUGGGUUUGGGAGUUGUAAACUCGGUAAUGAUCCCUCCGCUGGUUCACCAACGGAGACCUUGUUCAUUUUUUAACCUUCCAAAAAAUAGUUUAAUCGACAUC